rnacentral:misc_RNA from 1 species
AAGUCGUAACAAGGUUUCCGUAGGUGAACCUGCGGAAGGAUCAUUAUUGAACAAACCGGCGUCGGCUAAGUUGCUGGCCUCCUCGGGGGCAUGUGCACGGUCCGCCAUUGUUUCAUCCUUCUCUUCCACCUGUGCACUUCUGUGGGCCCACUCCAGCGCGCACACCGUGUGCUGGACUCUGGUGCCUACGUUUUCACUAUCCACACCAUUGAAUGUUCAGAAUGUAUGCAUCGGGCAUUCUUGCCCAUAAAACCUUAUACAACUUUCAACAACGGAUCUCUUGGCUCUC